rnacentral:rRNA from 1 species
GACGAACGCUGGCGGCGUGCUUAACACAUGCAAGUCGAACGGUGAAGCGCCUUCCUUUUUGUUGUGUGUGUAUGAGUGGCGAACGGGUUAGUAACACGUGAGUAACCUGCCCCCUCCUUCUGGAUAACCGCAUGAAAGUGUGGCUAAUACGUGAUAUUCUGGGUCUGUUGCAUGAUGGGUCUGGAAAAGAUAUUGUUUCGGUGGGGGAUGGGGUCGCGCACUAUCAGCUUGUUGGUGGGGUGAUGGCCUACCAAGGCGAUGACGAGUAGCCGGCCUGAGAGGGUGGGCGGACACAGUGAGAAUGCGAGGUGGAACAGACUAAUAGAGGCGGCAGUAGUGGGGAAUAUUGCACAGUGGGCAGAAGGAUGAUGCAACGACGCCGGGUGCGGGAUGGAGGUCUGAGGGUAGUGAACCGCUUUCGGCAGUGAAGAAGGCCUGCAUCGAUUGUGGGUGGGUUGACGGUAGCUAAAUAAGAAGCGCCGGCUAACUACGUG